GAAGAAAAUCUUCAACAAUUCAAGAACACAAGCAAAGAACAAGAUUUUUCUUCUUCUCUGUAGUGGCUUUCAAUGCAACGUUUCAAUGAAUUCUUCCUAAAUUAUCAAACCCCACUUGCUAGAUUUGUCACUUCUCGCCAUUCUUGCAGCAAAUUGUUCAUUGGAGGUCUGUAGUGAUACUAUGAUUCUGUUUCUUUACUUGUGUAUCAUGAUUGGCAUAUAGUUUUUUGGGGUUUCUCGCCCGGUAUUCGGUACCUGUAUUGGGGUCCCACUAAUUCUGGGAGUUCAUACCAGGUCGAAACCGAGAGCUCUAGUUAAGAAUGAAGGGGUAUAUGGUAUGGGCGUAUAGUUUUGAAACUAUAUGGUUGUGUUUAGUUUUGUAUUCCUAAAUUCAGCUUAAAUGUUAUGUAUUACCUUUUCUUGAAAAAAUAAAGUUCAAAUUUUUAGUCAUAUUGGCAUAGCAAUUGAACAGUUCUAGUUGGGGCUCUGGCAUAGCUCUAUUUGGGUAUGUUUCUUUCUAACAAUGUUAAAUUUUUUGUCUAGGAUUCUGUUUUAGAGUUUCUUGGAAGAUUAAGACUGCUAAGUAAAGUUGGAGCCCGCUUGGUUAGCUGGAUUUAAGUAGCUUUUAUGCACUGGGGGAGCUGAAUUUAUGUACAAGCAGUUAUGUGUUUAGAUAGAAGUGUUGUUACGUGUUUAGAUAGAAGUGUUGUUACGUGUUUAGAUAGUCAUAUUUACACCUUAGGGAUAAAAUAGCAUUUCCAGAGAGGAUUCUUUUGAAUAGUUGGGUGAGGUAUAGUUCAGCAGUAUUUCUGUGGGACAGAGAUGUGGGAUGUAAAAUGAAAGUUGAUAUCGAUAAUUAACUCUGUUUUGUGGAGUUAGUAUUUGAAGCACCGUGAUAAUGUAUGUUGUCAGUGCAGAGAUUUUCCUGUCUCUUGCUAAGUAUUUUAGCUUGGAUGAGUCCUUUUGACUACUCUGAUGCACGUGAAGCUAAAGAUUUCUUCUUGUGUCUCUCUGUGCUUAGUUGAUUUCUUCCUUGAUGUUUGAUGUACUAGAUUCAUUCUUGAAAAUAUCUGAUCUUUCCAUAUUAAUGAUUUUUCGUUCUUACAAAUUUUAAUGUGGCAGUCUGUGAGAGGUAAAAGAGUGCUUCUGGCAGUUUCAAGAAAUCCUCUGUUUCAGUUUCGAGAUGCGGAGACAAUGGGGUUCAUUCCUCUGCCUUUCUCCACUUCAAAAUCAAACUUGGUUACACAACUAGGUUUCAAACUUGUGAGUUGUGACAUGCAGCUACCACACAUCCAGCAGCGUACUACCUUUGCUGUUGAACCAAAACCAAGGUGUUGUGUUAAAGUUAGGUUCUUUUUCUGGUCACUUAGACGACAGACAUAAUUUGCUUCCAGGGGAGGUUGUUUUGGUUGGGUGUGUGGGAUGGCGGAGAGCUCUUUGGAUGACAGUUUUAUCUUGUUAAUUGAGCAAAAGUAGCACCGGAAUUAAGAUCUGAUGAUGGAUUAGCGGUAACAUGUUUGCACUAGAGUACAUAGGGAACCUAAAGCCUGAAAAAACUGCGAUUGCAUUUUAAGCUCAAAUCCAGAUGAACACCUUGUUGUCAUAUCUAAAAACUUAAGGACAAUGCAAAGGAUGAUAAAUUUGGAUACUUGUUAACGCGAAAUCUCCUCUCUACCACACAAAGGUAGGGGUAAGGGCUUUGUUAUGAUACCAAUGAACCUAUUCUUAAACAAGCUUUUGAGCAACAUGGUGAAACAAUUGAAGUGAAAGUAAUAUGUGAUCAUAAAAGUGGAAAAUCCAAAGGAUAUGGGUUCGUGAAGUUCACUUCUGAAACUGCAGCUAGCAAGGCCUUGAAGGAAAUGGACGGUCAAUUAUUGGAUGGAAGAAAUAUUCGCAUCAGUUAUGCCCACAAAGGAUGACGUUGAGAGGUUUCAACUCUCAUCUUUCCUUAUCCUGUUCACAUUCCUCAGUUGUUUGCUAUGGACUCGCGAAGAAGCAUGCAAGCAUUCCAGAUCACCGGGAUUUUGCCUGAGGUAAAAUCAGGACUACUUGGGAGGUCAUAAAAGUGGAUCUUGGUAAUGUUAAAAGGAUUUAAGACGUUGUCUCGAGCCCUAGCUUGACAAUUAUAAGUCCUUUGGAGUUUGGACAAGGCUCGAGUCAACGCCUUAAAUGGCCUUAAGCUUGAAGUUUGAACAAUCACUACAACUACUUCAUGAUCUUGUUUCAAAUUGCUACUGAUUAGUUCGUUCAUUUAUUCAUUGUUUUCUUUCUUUCUUAAAUAUCGUAUUUGUGUGAAGAAAUUCACUUUAUAUGUAUAUAUACUUUAUUUAGAACCUAAUAAACCGUCUUUACUAAA